rnacentral:rRNA from 1 species
AUGAACGCUGGCGGCGUGCCUAAUACAUGCAAGUCGAGCGAACGGACGAGAAGCUUGCUUCUCUGAUGUUAGCGGCGGACGGGUGAGUAACACGUGGAUAACCUACCUAUAAGACUGGGAUAACUUCGGGAAACCGGAGCUAAUACCGGAUAAUAUUUUGAACCGCAUGGUUCAAAAGUGAAAGACGGUCUUGCUGUCACUUAUAGAUGGAUCCGCGCUGCAUUAGCUAGUUGGUAAGGUAACGGCUUACCAAGGCAACGAUGCAUAGCCGACCUGAGAGGGUGAUCGGCCACACUGGAACUGAGACACGGUCCAGACUCCUACGGGAGGCAGCAGUAGGGAAUCUUCCGCAAUGGGCGAAAGCCUGACGGAGCAACGCCGCGUGAGUGAUGAAGGUCUUCGG